rnacentral:lncRNA from 1 species
UUUUUAUGAGGGCCAUGGCUUUCUCUCUUCACACAGGGGGAAUGUAACAUCCCCAAAUCCCCCAAACUCCAGCUAUCCCAGCAUUUCCAGUGCUGGGCACUAGCUUUCCACAUAACUUUAGAAGCGUUGACAUCCAUGCCUAGACUUGCCGGUACAAAGCACCUUGCAUAUUUCUACAUUGACAGGACCUUUUCCUCCUGUUGCUUUAUUGGAGGAAGAUGCACGGAAGGAGAGUUUUCUCUACAGCUAAACUCUCGCAUACCCAACAGAAAUCCUGACCUGAAACAUAUUUUCACAAGAUAAUGUGGAGCAUGAGAACCCAGAUGCAUCUCUACACUGCAUACAAAGAGUCUGGGAUACGUUGGUUUGCUUCGGAGAAUCAAAAAGACUGGAUGCAGACUGUGGAGAAAACGAAGGUGGGAUCAAGGCACCAACCUGCUGCCUCAGCUGGCAGGGUCACUUGUGUGUUCCAGGCUUGAGAUUCUUUGUAUAGCUGCAGGUUAGUGAUUGCUGAGCCGGUUUAAGUAGGAUUGUUGCAGAGGUGACCUUUCCAGUCUCCUACAAUUUAUAUCAUUUACUGGCAAUUGGAAAAACAGCUACAAUAAUAUCAGCUACCCGAGAGGCUAGUCCUUCUGCUGGGCCUCCUGGCCAGACAACAGACAUCUCAGUAGAUCUUAGGCCAAAAAAAAAGCGUGCAAGUAGAUAUAGAAAGGGGUAAAAACAAAAUGUCCUGUAAAAGUUCUUACCCGUAUAAUCAAAGGUAGAAAGAACUCUUUAGAUUUGUUGGUAUAAGACAUUACAUAAGGCAAUAUGUUUACAUGAGGCUCAGCCAAAAGCAGGGAAUUAGGAAAAAAAAAUUGGAAUAGGGAUUCCUUCUCCUUCUUUAUUUCAAAACUUGUGUAAAUAAUGCCAACGAGCUUUUGUUCCUGUGCCAGAAAAACAAGGGCAUGAAUGAUUCAGUUGGUCAGUAUCACCUUGUACAAAAUAGGGUGCCUUCCUCCUGACAAAAUCAAAACGUGUUCUAAGUAGAUACUGGUUUUGUGAUUGAACAGUCCCUUCUGAGGGUAAAAUUGAAAAGCUUAUUUUAUCCAUUUUAAUAAAAUGGUGCUUUAAAUAAAGUUCA